UACGUAGGGUGCAAGCGUUGUCCGGAAUUAUUGGGCGUAAAGAGCUCGUAGGCGGUCUGUCGCGUCUGCUGUGAAAACUCGGGGCUUAACCCCGGGCCUGCAGUGGGUACGGGCAGACUAGAGUGCGGUAGGGGAGACUGGAAUUCCUGGUGUAGCGGUGAAAUGCGCAGAUAUCAGGAGGAACACCGGUGGCGAAGGCGGGUCUCUGGGCAGUAACUGACGCUGAGGAACGAAAGCGUGGGUAGCAAACAGG
rnacentral:rRNA from 1 species